ensembl:lncRNA
GGCUGCCUGCAGAGUCGGGGUAGAAGAAUGCAAAAGGGCCGUCUGCAUGCUGGAGAGCCAGAGGAUCCAGUCAAAAGAAGCCCAGGGCUCCCUGCGGAGUGCCCUGCCAAGUUUGUAUUGAGAAGCCAAAAGCUGCUGCUGGAGGGCUGCACUCUGGACUUGUACUCAGUGAUGAAGUAGCCUUGGCUCCUGCCGGAGGUGGUCACAGUCCAGCAGGGGAGAGAAGACAUAUGUGCCCUGAACUACAGAUGAUGGAGAAGGUGCUCCAGCAGGGAGGCUGGAACUCAGCUGAUGGACACGGUCAUUUCCUGCGGAGGUCAGGCUGCAUGUCUGUGGUUUUCCAGGUCGUCAGGAUAGAAUGGCAAUGUGCACGAAUGCUCUCUUUUGGUCCCCCUGAUGGGCACACAUGGGCAAGCCAACUGGUAGGAUGGCA